UAAGAGGUAUUUGGGAGAGGUGAUUAGGCAUGACAUGGCUGGUAUGCAGGUUUCCGAGGACAUGGCCCUUGAUAGGAAAGUCUGGAGGUCUAGUAUCACGGUUGGGUAGAAUGCAGGUUUCUGAGGACAUGACCUUGAUAGGAAAGUCUGGAGGUCUAGUAUCAGGGUUGUAGGAUAGGGGCCUCUAGAGUUUUUCGUACUACUCACCCGGGGUUGAGUGAGACUUGACAGGGCUAUCCAUAGAUGUUUUGUGUUUUGGAUUGUGUCUCCCUUAUAGUAGUUAUUUAUGGUAGUUACUGUAUGAUAUUAUUG
rnacentral:lncRNA from 1 species